rnacentral:rRNA from 1 species
UAGGGAAUCUUCCGCAAUGGGCGAAAGCCUGACGGAGCAACGCCGCGUGAGUGAUGAAGGUCUUCGGAUCGUAAAACUCUGUUAUUAGGGAAGAACAAAUGUGUAAGUAACUAUGCACGUCUUGACGGUACCUAAUCAGAAAGCCACGGCUAACUACGUGCCAGCAGCCGCGGUAAUACGUAGGUGGCAAGCGUUAUCCGGAAUUAUUGGGCGUAAAGCGCGCGUAGGCGGUUUAUUAAGUCUGAUGUGAAAGCACACGGCUCAACCGUGGAGGGUCAUUGGAAACUGGAAUACUUGAGUGCAGAAGAGGAAAGUGGAAUUCCAUGUGUAGCGGUGAAAUGCGCAGAGAUAUGGAGGAACACCAGUGGCGAAGGCGACUUUCUGGUCUGUAACUGACGCUGAUGUGCGAAAGCGUGGGAAUCAAACAGG